AGCCAUGCAUGUUUCUGUUAUAAAGGACAAAUAGCUCAGUAAAACUAAGUUUAUUUAAUCUUGACAUAAAAUAACCAAUUGAAAAUUUGGCUAAAAAAUAAAGAAUAAGACUUAGAAUCAUCAGCUAGUUGGUAGUGUAAAGGACUACCAAGGCAGUGACGGUUAACGGGACACGAGAGUGUUAUACCGGAGAGGGAGCCUGAGAGAUUGCUCCCACGUCCAAGGACGGCAGCAGGCGCGAAAAUUGUCCACUCUUGUAGGAGACAGUUAUGAAAAGUAAUAUUGGUAGGUUUUAUAAAAUAAAAUACUAAAAUUGGAGGGCAAGUUUGGUGCCAGCAGCCGCGGUAAUACCAACUCCAAGAGUGUGUAUGAGAGUUGUUGCAGUUAAAAGGUCCGUAGUUUUAAUUUUAAACAAUGAAUUUCAUUUAAUUAAUAUUUAGGGACUGAUGGGGAUUAUAGUAUACAAAGGCGAGAGAUGAAAUGCCAAGACCCUUUGUGGACUAAGCGAGGCGAAAGCGAUAAUCUUGUAAGUACUCGUUGAUCAAGGACGAAGGGUAGAGUAUCGAAGGUGAUUAGAUACCGCUGUAGUUCUACCAGUAAAAGAUGCCGACUUUUUGUGUGUUUUAUUAAAAUGUCAUAUUAACAUAUUUCUAUUAAUAUACACUCGAAAGAGAGAAAUCAGUAAGUGUUCGGGCUCUGGGGAUAGUACGCUCGCAAGGGUAAAAAUUAAAGAAAUU
rnacentral:rRNA from 1 species